GAUGAACGCUAGCGGCAGGCUUAAUACAUGCAAGUCGUGGGGCAGCGCAGUGUAGCAAUACAUGGGCGGCGACCGGCAAACGGGUGCGUAACACGUACGCAACCUUCCCGUUACUGGGGAAUAGCCCAGGGAAACUUGGAUUAAUACCCCAUAUUAUAUUGAUUGGGCAUCUAAUUAAUAUCAAAGCUUCGGCGGUAACGAAUGGGCGUGCGGUUGAUUAGGUAGUUGGCGGGGUAACGGCCCACCAAGCCUACGAUCAAUAGCUGAGGUGAGAGCAUGAUCAGCCACACGGGCACUGAGACACGGGCCCGACUCCUACGGGAGGCAGCAGUAAGGAAUAUUGGGCAAUGGACGAAAGUCUGACCCAGCCAUGCCGCGUGGAGGGUGAAGGUCCUCUGGAUUGUAAACUUCUUUUUUCUGGGGCGAAAACCGGUUUUUCUAAACCAUUUGACGGUACCAGAAGAAUAAGCACCGGCUAACUCCGUGCCAGCAGCCGCCGUAACAC
rnacentral:rRNA from 1 species